GACAGAGGGGGCAAGCGUUGCUCGGAAUCACUGGGCGUAAAGGGCGCGUAGGCGGGACGCCAAGUCGGUCGUGAAAUCUCCGGGCUCAACCCCGGAGGAGUCGGCCGAAACUGGUGUUCUUGAGGGAGGCAGAGGAGUCUGGAAUUCCCGGUGUAGCGGUGAAAUGUGUAGAGAUCGGGAGGAACACCGGUGGCGAAGGCGGGACUCUGGGCCUACCCUGACGCUGAGGCGCGAAGGCGUGGGGAGCAAACGGG
rnacentral:rRNA from 1 species